rnacentral:rRNA from 1 species
UACGGAGGGUGCGAGCGUUGUCCGGAAUCACUGGGCGUAAAGGGCGCGUAGGCGGCCUGAUAAGUAGGGGGUGAAAUCCUGCGGCUUAACCGCAGGGCUGCCUUCUAAACUGUCAGGCUGGAGCACAGUAGAGGCAGGUGGAAUUCCCGGUGUAGCGGUGGAAUGCGUAGAGAUCGGGAAGAACAUCAGUGGCGAAGGCAGCUCGCUGGGACGGUACUGACGCUGAGACGCGAAAGCGUGGGGAGCAAACAGG